GGCACUUUGGCGGAGUGGUUAACGCGAUGCCCUGCUAUUAUCAGCUUGAUUGGUACAGCUUAGGCAUUCCCUUCGGGGGCGUGUGUUCGAAUCACACAGGUGUCG